ensembl:lncRNA
AGGACCGGUGAGUUGACAGUGCAAAGAAGAAUCUGGAAGGAGGGAUGACCGCAAAUAGACACUUUUGUUUCUGUUAUUCUUGGAACGCACUUGAGCACGUGUUGGUGCUGUGGUUUAUGAUUUUCAGAGCACUCUAACUUGCAUUAUCUAGUCUGAUCUUCACAGGAGCUCCGUGGGGUGUACAGGGAAUAUUAUUCCAAAAUUAGGUGGAAACUAAGGUUCAGAGAGCUUAGAUGCCUUUUCCAAGGUAGUGGCAUAGCUCGGUCUCAAACCCAGGUCAGGUCUCCUGGUCUUCUCAGGUACUGGUGGGAAUCCAAGACAUGUUCAACAGACUACUGGAUGUGUGGGUUUGGGUCACAAGAGAGAGACCUUGGCUACAGAUAGAGAUAUGAGCAUCAUCGGUGAAUAUCUUUUUGCUUUUCUGAUAAGAGGGCAUAUAUGCAGCUGCAUCUGGCUUUACCCACUUACCCCUCUCCUACCUUAAAGGCAGAUGUGAUGUCUGGGGCUGCAGCAGCCAUUUUGUUACCAUGAACUGACAGUAAUGUGAAAGCCAACCCACUAAGGAUGGGAGUAUGGAAGUAUAGAAAGUGCCAGAAUUGUUGAGCAAUUGGAACAAUGCUUUCAACUGCUUACAUCUGGAUUUAUCAUUAUGUGAGAAAAACAGGCCCUAUUCGUUUAAGCCACUAUAGUCAGAUUUUCUUUACUUGAUGAUACAUGGGGGGGACAUGAUGUCAAGAGCUGUGGCAUGAGGUGGCCACAUGAGGAAAAAAGCCAACACACUGAGAAAUAUAUAAAGUGCUGAAAGAACAAAGGAGCUGGUUCCUUCUGUCCACCUAUGACCGGAUGUGUGUGAAGUUAGCAAGAAUUGUCCUCAGGUGCUGUGAGAAGCCUCACAGCGGUGAGCUGUCUACUAUUUAAAGGUCAGAUCAUUCCUAACUGUUACACCCUUCUUCACGCUGAGUAGGAUGCUACACUGAUUUACAAACUUCCUUCUGAUGCUCGACUCCACCUGUGUCUGCGGCUGCCGUCCUGGGAACGACUGUGCCACCAGGCCUCGCUGUCACGUCCCCCUGUCCUGCGUCCAGGGUUCCCACCUGCAGCUGGCUGGCAGCCGUGUGCUGAGCUGUGUGGCGAUCUGUGACAGAGCAGGGGAAGUGCCUUCCCCCUUCCGGGACACCGUGGAACGGAGGCCCCGAGCAGAGUUGCUUUGCGCUAAUGUGUCGCACAGUGCAGUGGCAGCUUCUAUUUCUUGUUUCUCUUGGAGCCAUCUGUCUGUUUCUGACCCAGAUAAGUGUUCAGGAGGCUGGGCCGUGGGAGGUGUAGAGAGGCAGCUACAGUGCUGGGCUCGGAAUGCCUUCCUCCAACCACAGGCCAGGCUUUAGCUGCUCUUCUUAGGGUGAGCUCUUUUCUGGGAGCUCCUCAGCUUCCCAGAAGGUAGUCGUCUCCCCUGGGCCACCCCAGCAGCUUGUCAGACUGGCUGGCUUCACGUUCGGCUUGGCUUCUCUCUCAGGAAUAGCCCCUGCCUCUUGGAAAACAGGCUUGAUUCAGACGCUCCCAUCAGUCCGCCACACACGCACUCCUGGGCCAUCAGAGACCCUUGCGGCUGCAGCCCAGGCCCGAUGAGCUUUCCGCUUCACAGGUCAAGCCCGAAUGCAUAAAGCAGCCACGUAUCCAGAACUCCUGCGGCCUCGUGUGCUUAUUGGCAGCACCUGAAUCCCAGAAUAGACAUUUCCCUAUUAAGGAACAGAAACGAUGGAAGGAGAACAAAGCCACCCUUUAUCGGAGCAGAUUGCUUUACCUGAAACAGCCCUCUAACAGACGUGCUCCUGAAGUACCUCUUGAUGAAAUCUGUGAACAUUUGUAGUAUUUUACAUUGCGCUUAAUAAUUUAUUAGUGUUUAAUAUUUCACAGGAGUAAAGCAGAAAACCUGAUAAAAUUUUCAUAUCUGCUAUUAUAAGCUAAGUAGGAUGCGAGCCGCGGCUGGGCGGUACCCAGAGCCCGGAGCCUGGGGUCCGCUCCGUGCGCCCCGAGUGCCCAGGUCACCACAGUAGCCUCUCUGCCCGUUCCCCCAGGGAGAACCAACACCUAUGGGAAGCUGAGCUUAUAAUUAGUAACAGCAAAUCCAAUUCACGGUUCUAAGCGUUUCAUAGGAACAAUUCGUUAAUUUCUCACCACCCUCCUAUGAGAUAGAAGCUCUUAAUAUUCUCAUUUUACAGAUGAGAAAAUCGAGGCACGGCGAGGGGGUGAUUCACUCAGGGUCGUGCAGGAGUCAGGAGCUGGAAUUUGGGUCCAGGCGGGCUCGCUCCAGAGUCUGUAUUCUUAACUAUUACACUAUAUGUUUUCUCUAAAAACAAACCAAUCAAUAAACAAUUUGUUGCAUCCUUAUCUGGCUCAGGGCUCUGGGCCACACGCGCUCCAGGGGAUAACACAGUGAGACUUCCUGUCCGCGUCUACACGCCCGCCCUCUGAAGCCAGCAGGCACUCUGCUGCUCCACUUGUCUGCUGAGUGACCCCAGGCGAGUAACCCAAUCAUUCUGAUCGUCAAAAAUACCUGCCUCACAGGUUUGCUGUGAACGUGAAAGGAAACAAAUUUGAAGAAAAGUAUCCUAGACCACGUUGGCUGGUGGGCGAAAUCUGCUCUGCUGGGUUUUUUUAAACAGCUUUAUUGAGAUUUACUCAAAGUGCUUAAAAAACCACUUUAAGUGUUUUUCAGUAUAUUCACAGAUAUGUGCAACCAUCAUGACAAUCAAUUUUAGAGCAUUUUCAUCAUAUCAAAAAGAAACCAGCACCCUUGAGCUAUUUCUGUUCCCUGAACGUC